AUUGAACGCUGGCGGAAUGCUUUACACACGCAAGUCGAACGGCAGCACGGACUUCGGUCUGGUGGCGAGUGGCGAACGGGUGAGUAAUGUAUCGGAACGUGCCCAGUCGUGGGGGAUAACGUAGUGAAAAUUACGCUAAUACCGCAUACGAUCUAUGGAUGAAAGCGGGGGAUCGCAAGACCUCGCGCGAUUGGAGCGGCCGAUAUCAGAUUAGGUAGUUGGUGGGGUAAAGGCCCACCAAGCCAACGAUCUGUAGCUGGUCUGAGAGGACGACCAGCCACACUGGAACUGAGACACGGUCCAGACUCCUACGGGAGGCAGCGGUGGGGAAUUUUGGACAAUGGGCGAAAGCCUGAUCCAGCUAUUCCGCGUGCAGGAUGAAGGCCCUCGGGUUGUAAACUGCUUUUGUACAGAACGAAAAGGUUUCUACUAAUACUAGGAGCUCAUGACGGUACUGUAAGAAUAAGCACCGGCUAACUACGUGCCAGCCGCCGCCGUAA
rnacentral:rRNA from 1 species